AUGACGAGGGCGAGGACGCGGAGGCCGGCGAAGGGGGAGGCGGUGGAGGGGUGCGCCCGCUCUGGUACGAGCUCACUCGUGUGUGAUCCCAGGCGCCGCAGGGCCAACGACAAGUCCGUGAAGGAGAAGUGCAAGAUCGUCAACGGAGAUGACCUGAUCUGGUCCAUGGGCACGCUCGCCUUCGAGGACUACGUCGAGCCCCUCAAGCUGCACCUCAAGCUCUAUCAGGAGGAAUUCUGA
rnacentral:rRNA from 1 species